rnacentral:rRNA from 1 species
GACGAACGCUGGCGGCGUGCCUAACACAUGCAAGUCGAACGGAACCGCUUUGAGAGCUUUCUUCGGAAUGAAUCUGGUUUAGUUUAGUGGCGGACGGGAGAGUAACGUGCUAGUAACUUGCCUUUAAGAGGGGAAUACCAUUCCGAAUAGAACGUUAAUACUGCAUGACAUAUCAGAAGCACUUGGUUUUGUUCUCAAAGAUUUUAUCGCAUGAAGAUGGACUUGGGUGCGGGUAGUUAGUUGGAGAGGUAUGGGCGCACCAAGACCGCGAUCGGUAGCCGGAGUGAGGGGAUGAGCGGCCACAUUGGGACUGAGGCACGGCCCAGACACCUACGGGAAGCAGCAGUAGGGGGUAUUACGCAAUGGGGGCAACCCUGGCGCAGCAACGCCGCGUGAAGGAUGAAGGUUGUCGAAUAGUAGACUUCUUUUAUUAAGGACGAAAAAUGACGGUACUUAAUGAAUAAGCACCGGCUAACUACGUG